CAGCAAACUGAAAAACCAAGGCUGAAAUUGCAGGUGCAGAGCUAGAAAAAAUAGCCAAAUAACCGAGCUUUACUCACCUUGCUGCUCUGUUGGGAAACUUUUUUCUCAAGUGGUUGAUAUUGACGAUUAGUCGGUGCUUUUUUUCAUCGAUCAUAUCCUUAACUAAUUCCAUGUGCCCUCCAGCAUACGAAAAGGAAUGAAAACACGCAUCUCUCAUAAGCAUAAUAUCAGUUCCUUGACCACCUUGACCGCCUUGGGCAGCUUAUACCCAUAGCCACGGUGGGAAAUGAGGUUUUAAAUUCCAACCAUCGUAUACAGUCAACAGGUUAACGGUCGGGCGACAGCAUCCAUCGCGCUAAAUAUGCUGAACGCUGUAACAAAACGGAUUAUUCGAGGAGCUCUUUUCAUCCUUAAUUGUUUUAUGGGGCCAUCGAUACUGAUAAGAUCGUUGGGUAAACGAAAACGAUGCCCUCCUGUUCGCAACAAGCUGCUCCUCGUCUCAGCGACCGAACUCGCCAGAAGGAUCCGAUCGCGGGAGGUGACAAGCGAAGAGGUGGUCACCGCUUACAUUGCAAGAUGCAAAGAAGUAAACCCAACGAUAAAUGCGAUCGUGGAAACGAGAUAUGAACUCGCUAUCCAGGAAGCGAAGGAUGUCGACAACCGUAUCAGGUCGGGGCUGAAAAGUUACGAUGAAAUGUGCCGGGAAACACCGCUUCUCGGGAUACCGGUUACCGUCAAAGAGAGCAUAGCAGUUCAGGGUAUGAGUAAUGCGGCCGGUACAAAACAUUCAAGGGUUCGAAUCGCCCUCGACGAUGCGGACGUAGUUCGAAGAGUGCGGACUGCUGGUGGUAUCGUUCUUCUGGUCAGUAAUACACCGGAAAUGUGCAUGUGUUGGGAAACAUUCAACAACGUAACGGGAACCACAUGGAAUCCGUACGACACGAGGAAAACUGCCGGCGGUUCGUCCGGCGGUGAGGCUGCGUUGCUCGGUUCCGCCGCGUCUCUGUUGAGCCUGUCAUCGGACAUCGGAGGAUCCGCUCGACUUCCGGCGAUGUUUUGCGGAGUAUUUGGUCACAAACCGACGCCAGGCGCAAUUUCCACGGCUGGGCACAUGCCGGACUGCGACGAUAAAGCCUGGCCAAAUUUCUUCAGCAUCGGACCGAUGGUCAGAUACGCCGAGGAUAUUCCUCUGUUAUUGAAAACUAUGUGCCAGUCGAGCGGUUCCGGAUUCCAGCUGGAGAAAAAAGUUUCGUUGAACGAAAUAAAAUUCUUCUACAUGGAUAACGACUGCGGUUCCGGGGCGACAAGUUCCGUUGACUCGGAUAUAAAGUCAGGCAUACAUAGGCUCGUAAAACACCUCAAUUCCCUACACGGAAUCGUAGCGCAAAAGGCCGAGUGCGAACUGCCGGAUAUGAAGUACGCGUUUGAAGUCGCUGCGACGAUUCUUCUAGGCAUCGAUGGUGUGGAUACCAUUUUCACGAAGGGUACGGAUCCCCGGGAAUGGAAGAGCGUCUUUGUAGAGGUGAUUAAAUACCUCUGCUUCAUGUCACCCCAUACCUUUCCUAACGUUACUUACGGAGUGCUGAAAAAAAUCGUAGACAAAACACCGCGGUCGCAUUUAGAGAAUAUGAUAGCGAAGAAUACCUCACUUAAAAGACAGUUUGCGGAUCUCCUCGGUAAUAACGGGGUCCUGAUAUACCCAACUUUCGUGUCCGCCGCCCAUUAUCCAUAUGAGAUAUACCACAAAAUCUGCAACGUGUCGUAUAUGAUGAUAUUCAAUUCCCUCGGACUCCCCGUAACUCAAUGCCCCGUUGGACUGAAUAGGGAUGGCUUGCCAAUUGGCCUUCAGGUUGUCGCAAAUCCAAAUUGUGAUCAUCUGACAAUCGCCGUGGCGAAGGAAAUUGAGAUAAUUUUCGGUGGAUGGCAACCACCGACCGCAGUUGAAAAAACCGUUUGAUUCUUCCUCGAGAACUAGACUGCGGUCGGAAAAAAUUAUGCGUUUCUUUGGAAUUUUACAAAUUGCAAUUCAAGUGUAGAGUGGAUCGGUUUGUCGUGCAAAACCAAAUGACGAAAACUAUCGACACGUGUUUGAAUUAAAAAAUAAAUUAGGAAAAAAAACGAAAACAGUGAAGAUGCUCUGGUUAUACCGCUGUGGAAGAGGACUGAGACUAGGGAAAUCGAGAAUUCCUGAGGAUUAUGAAACGUCAUCGAUUGCGGCGAAUCAGAUGUAUUUUCGAUAAUGUAACAGCUCUUUCUUUGUUGCGCCUGACUUUGUUCUUCUGCUUUCGGCUCUUUGACGCAUCUUUGAAGAGCUGGAUUCCCUGUUGUUCCUCGAUUAAACGUUGCGUGAACGCCAGACCGUACAGAUUGUAACCGACCGUGUCCUGAAAAAGUUGACAAC